AUGGUGUCUUGUAUCUCUGUUUUUUCCUACUGUGGUGGCAAAUUGACUGCAGCACUCCUAACAGUCUGUUUCUUUUCCCGAGGGUGGGCUGUGACAUGGAGAGGGCAUCUUACAGGGCACAAGGAAAAAGUAUCGGGUCUUGACCACAGAGGGUGGUUAGUGUGCAGCACUGCAGUACACACAACCCAACCUGCUGCAAAAUUACUCCCCCAGAUGGAUCCCCUCCACUAAGGACAAUAUAAGUCAGACAUUAGAAGGUAAGUUUUCCCAACCAAAGAACCAAAUUCAGCCUGCCUUCCUUAGCUCACCUGAGAUCUGAGCUGCCACCUGGCCAUACCUAUUUCUCUUCACUGUUUCUCAAGAGUUCUGGGCCAACACUGUAUCAAAUCAGAACCAUUCUUUCCCCAUGAGGGAGGCUGACCCAGGAAGGCUGUGGAAAUGUAGGGUAUGGUUUCACAUAACUCCACUUCUACCAUACCUUGAGGAGUACAGAAUGUAUACCAACACUCCAGAGCCUUUUUCUGAGUUGGGCACGGAUUUGCUCUGAUGCAGCAGGCUGAGAAUAGCCUCUAGGGAAGAUGUCCCUGACUCAAAUGCUGCUGUCAUUGCCAAGAUCAUUCUGUGAGCUCAAAGAAGGAUCCUAGACUUGCUGCUGGGGUCUGAGUAUCACCUUGUGCAGUAAGAGAAAUGUAAUACUGCAUGGAGAAGAUGAGGCUUUAUAAAUUUCUUAAUCCAUUUCUCUGGCCAAAUAAUUUGUACACAUAGUUGAAACCUUCCUGCCUCUGACUCAUCGCAUUUUGUGCUCCACCUUGUCUCUGGGAUGAAACCCAUCAAAUUCUGUCAUCCAGAAUGAGGUCUGACAGUAACUAUAAAACCUCCCUGGGGAAAGCGUGAGUGCAAGCAGCUGCUGAAGCCACAACAAUGGGACUGUGUGGCAGUUCACAUAUCUGGCCUGCGUGCUGUCAACAUAUCACCUUCCAAAUACACAAGCGAUGCUCUUUUGUUGGCCUGGCUGAUGCACCACCACUGCAUCUCUCUAGCAUAGCUCAGUGCUUAGGGGAAUGCAGGGAGGCAGCUGCAGAGCUCCCUGUGCAGCAUCCUAUCCAGAUUCUGUUCUCUCAACAGCAGCAGAGUCUGUGAGAAGCCAGAGUGGAGGUUAUCUUCUGUGGCUGCUACAUGGCUGCAUCGUCCCCAUCUGGCUCAGAUGUCAGCCAGCCACUAGGGAGCAGGCAGCUCUUUUGCUACUGUGAUAGGAGUGAGAUCUUUGCUUUUUCCAGUAGCUUGAUCUGGCUUACCCAGGGAAAUCACAGCAAGUGCAUUGUGCCAAGUCUUGAUCCCAGUGAAGUCAGUGACAUGGCUCCAGUUGACCUCAGUGGGACCAUGAUUUAAGCAGCACCAUGUAAUUCCUAUAGGCUUCUUGCACAGUUUAUGAAGCAUAUGUGCUCUCUCUCUCUGCAUGCUUAUUUGACUUUCACACUCUUGAUGGAAAUGUGUCUUUAUAAAUUUACAAAUAGCACAGCAGCUGUGUGUUUAUAUAACCUCAUUUGAGGGCCACAUGUAUUCUCACCCUUGUGCUAUUAAUAUUUAUACUGUCACAACCACAUACACACAAAUACCUUGCACACAUACACAUGCAUGCUGUGGAACAAUAUGGAAAAUAGAUUAAAAACACAUCUUAGUCAGUCAUGCCCUUAAAAACAAAAACAAAAACAGAAAGGCAGAAGUAGAUUCUUGGAAGACAUUAUAAAGGAACUUUUUAUUAGAUCCUGGUGAUUUUUUGCAAAUUUCUGUGCUGUUACACCCUUAGCUGCUGCACAGCAACACCUCUCCCUGAUUUCAAGUCAUCAAAUUGCAAGUUUAACACAACAAAGUCAGAUAUUUCCGCCAGUCAGGAGACAGACAAUUAAUAGGGCACACAGGACUUUGAGCACUGCAGGCUGUUGAUGACAGGGCAAGUGACUCCAGCUGCUGGUGGUGCUCCCCAGCCAGUGCAAGCAUCAUUGUUCAGAAGGCCACAGUGAAGCUGGUGAAAAGCUCUUGGCGGAAAUUAUUCUUCAGCAAAAAUGCAGAAUCAGGCUGGUUUAGUCAAUCUGCAAAUUACUCAACUUGCUUCAAAUGCAAUCAGGAAAAGAAAAACGGCCAAAAAUACAGCCUGGAUGCUUUAUUUUGAUGAUCUCGGAUGAAACAUUUUGAUUUUCUCAGCCUGAAAAAAAAACUUAGCAUUUUUGAUUUUACCUCCACUUAAUUUUUGGUAUGCCAAAAGACUAAAGCAAUUUACCC
rnacentral:lncRNA from 1 species